UGCGCGUCACGCGGUACGGUUCGUCCGAAUCGACGACGGCGAGACGGAAGCCGGUGGGAACCCGGCACGGUCGCGCCACUGUGUGCGCACCUCCCUCAGGGGGCGCGCGAGUCAGACCCGUGGCCGUCGUCCACUGCACCA
rnacentral:ncRNA from 1 species